rnacentral:lncRNA from 10 species
GCUGUUCCCCUCUCUGCAGGGUCAUGUGGCCUGGCCUGCCGGCCCUCCGUCCCCGCUCCAGGACUAACCUCUGUGGAGGGAAUCACCUAACUCGAGGGAUCACGACUCCUGAGCAGUGAAGUCGCAUGAGGCCCCACAGACCCCGGGAUUGGAGGCCCAAGGACCUGCCAGUGUGCGGGGCUGGCCUCUGCAGACAGUGAAAAGCUCCCGUGGCCACGCUUGGCAGAUGCUGGGAAGUGAAGAGACAGCCAAAUGGCCAAAUUCCCCUGGAAAUUUCUCCUGGUGUCUGGCACCCUGGGAUUUUGCCUGGCUGGGUUUGUGGGCGGCUGCCAGAGGCACUGCAGAAGCUGUCAGGCUGGGCUUCCAGGGACAAAGGUGGAAGCGCCCCCACCAGAGAAGAGUGUGGGUGUCAGGCAUGGCCUGGGCUGAGACCCCGCUGUCACUUCCUGUCUGUGAUCUUGAUCAAGCUCACCCCCUGCCCUGAGCCGGCUGGUUUGUUCAUCAGUACAACAGGGUUAAUAAAUAGCACUGCCUACCCGCUGGGUGCUGUAAACAUCCUGUGGAAAGAUGGACUUUUGAAAACAUCGCGUGUCACUGUGAGGAGCUGCCGGGGUUGGAAGAGGAGUGGCUAGAUGUUCCUUGAGGCUCCCUGCUGCGCUGGGCUGCAGGAUGGUUUUGUCUGAAGAUUCCUGAAUGGGAUCAGGAGAGGAGGAUGUUGGCCUGACGUGAGCAGCUCCUCUGAUGUGAGCCUCCCGCGCCCUCCGUUCUAGUCACAUCCAUCUUCACGUGGCGGCGGACUAAGGAUUUCCACAUGAGGCAACAUGAUUCAGGCGGCUCCUUUUGGAUUUUACACUGUCAGGGUGUGUGUGUUUCAGAUCCUCAGAGCAGAGGCUCAGAGUCCCCUCAUAAAGAGCCUUUUUAGGGUAG